GCGCUCAUAGCUCAACUGGAUAGAGCAACGCACUUCUAAUGCGUAGGUUGCAGGUUCAAGUCCUGCUGAGCGUGCCA
rnacentral:tRNA from 1 species